GCAGUAGCUUAGUACAGCACGAACAUUUAUAGAUCUAAUCUGAAAUUGUUGGUAGAGCACACGGUUUACAAACUUUAAUAGGGUUCUCACUUCCCGUUACUUUCGAUUCCUGUCACCAGGGCCUCUCUUUGAAGUGUUUCAAACAUGGCGUCCCCCAGUAGCACCAGCACUCAGCGCGACUCGCAUGACAAUUCACCGUGGUUUUUGUUCCAGGAACGGCUAGACCACCUGUCCAGUCAGCUUGUUCGGCGAGUGGCUGGACGUGGAUGCGCUACAAGCUGCAGAUACCUUGUCGCCGGGCGAGCAUUCCAGUAGCCACUUGGAUCCCUGGCAGUUGCUGGACGCCAACGGUCCGAACGGAGAGAUGC